rnacentral:rRNA from 1 species
UACGUAGGGGGCAAGCGUUGUCCGGAUUCAUUGGGCGUAAAGAGCGUGUAGGCGGCCAGGUAGGUCGGUUGUGAAAACUGGAGGCUCAACCUUCAGAGGUCGACCGAAACCAUCUGGCUAGAGUCCGGGAGAGGAGAGUGGAAUUCCUGGUGUAGCGGUGAAAUGCGUAGAGAUCAGGAAGAACACCGGUGGCGAAAGCGUUCUGCUAGACCUGUACUGACACUGAGGGACGAAAGCUAGGGGAGCGAAUGGG